CAAUAGCGUAUAUUUAAGUUGUUGCAGUUAAAAAGCUCGUGGUUGGAUUUCGGUUAAGAGCGACCGGUCCGCCGUUUGGUGUGCACUGGUUGGUUUUAACUUCCUGUAGAGGACGUGCUCUGGGUUUAACGACCUGGACUCGGAGUCUACGUGGUUACUUUGAAAAAAUUAGAGUGUUCAAAGCGGGCUUACGCUUGAAUAUUUCAGCAUGGAAUAACACUAUAGGACUCCUGUCCUAUUUCGUUGGUCUCGGGACGGGAGUAAUGAUUAAGAGGAACAGUUGGGGGCAUUCGUAUUUCAUUGUCAGAGGUGAAAUUCUUGGAUUUAUGAAAGACGAACUUCUGCGAAAGCAUUUGCCAAGGAUGUUUNCAUUA
rnacentral:rRNA from 1 species